GUCAUCCGCUCGACAAUAAGUCAUCUUUCGGCUUUAAUUCGCGAAAAAACUGUCGAAAAAGCAAAUAGAAAGUGCCUAGAAGCAGCCAUUUUAACGCAGCCGUGAAAAUCACAGGGAAUCCUUCGCCAGCGGUGUCGAGCUACCGUGGAUACGCGGAAAAGAAGCAGCAGCAGCCGAAGCAAUUUGGCUGAGUGUCCGCGAGAGGGAGGAAAACGGUGGACCGCUAACAACGGAUCGCGAAUUUCGUCUUUAGACAAAGUUUUGCGCUGCCUGUCACUGGCCUUGCCCACGGACAUUCCGCCCCUGGAAAAAUCGCCUGCCAGGCUAAAACGACGACGAGAUGUUUUGCAAACAUACCGUGGCCAUUUUGUGGUUAUAAGCGCCGCUUGUAGGCGGCUCCACGUGUGUGUGUGGGUUCACUGCAUAUGUACCAAAUUACAACCACGCGGCCUCCCUCAUGGUUGUAGUUGCUGUUGUUUGUGCCGUUUCUGAUAACCUCUUGUAUGUUGUUAUCAAAAAUGUCAGAGAGAGCCAAAAGAGGAGCACGGCUUACAUCACAGACUUCUCACCGCUUCAUUGACCUAAUGCACUCCUAACCUUCGAAAAAAGGUGCUGCUGUGUUUCUACUUAACGAAAAAAUAAAUGGAAAACAAGUAAA